rnacentral:rRNA from 1 species
GACGAACGCUGGCGGCGUGCCUAAUACAUGCAAGUUGAGCGCUGAAGGUUGGUACUUGUACCAACUGGAUGAGCAGCGAACGGGUGAGUAACGCGUGGGGAAUCUGCCUUUGAGCGGGGGACAACAUUUGGAAACGAAUGCUAAUACCGCAUAAAAACUUUAAACACAAGUUUUAAGUUUGAAAGAUGCAAUUGCAUCACUCUAAGAUGAUCCCGCGUUGUAUUAGCUAGUUGGUGAGGUAAAGGCUCACCAAGGCGAUGAUACAUAGCCGACCUGAGAGGGUGAUCGGCCACAUUGGGAAUGAGACACGGCCCCAACUCCUGCGGGAGGCAGCAGUAGGGAAUCUUCGGCAAUGGACGAAAGUCUGACCGAGCAACGCCGCGUGAGUGAAGAAGGUUUUCGGAUCGUAAAACUCUGUUGGUAGAGAAGAACGUUGGUGAGAGUGGAAAGCUCAUCAAGUGACGGUAACUACCCAGAAAGGGACGGCUAACUACGUG